UUUCGCCUCAGGAGGGGUCCAAAUGAUAUUAGCUAGUUGGUGAGGUAACGGCUCACCAAGGCGUAGAUGUCUAGCGGGUGUGAGAGCACGACCCGCGCCACUGGCACUGAGACACUGGCCAGACUCCUACGGGAGGCUGCAGUCGAGGAUCUUCGGCAAUGGGCGCAAGCCUGACCGAGCGACGCCGCGUGUGCGAUGAAGGCCUUCGGGUUGUAAAGCACUGUCGAGAGGGAGAAAGCCGAAAGGUUGAUCUAUCUCUGGAGGAAGCACGGGCUAAGUUCGUGCCAGCAGCCGCGGUAAGACGAACCGUGCGAACGUUGUUCGGAAUCACUGGGCCUAAAGGGCGCGUAGGCGGGCAACCAAGUCUGAGGUGAAAUCCUCCAGCUUAACUGGAGAAGUGCCCCGGAUACUGGUUGCCUCGAGGAUGGUAGGGGCAUCUGGAACUAGCGGUGGAGCGGUGAAAUGCGUUGAUAUCGCUAGGAACUCCGGUGGCGAAGGCGAGGUGCUGGACCAUUUCUGACGCUGAGGCGCGAAAGCAGGGGGAGCGAACGGGAUUAGAUACCCCGGUAGUCCUGGCCCUAAACGAUGAGAACUAGAUAGUGGUCUUGAUAUGAGAUCACUGUCGGGGCAAAAGUGCUAAGUUCUCCGCCUGGGGAGUAUGGUCGCAGGGCUGAAACUCAAAGGAAUUGACGGGGGCUCACACAAGCGGUGGAGCAUGUGGCUUAAUUCGAGGCUACGCGAAGAACCUUAUCCUGGGCUUGACAUGUGCGAAAGCGGUAGGAAGUAGAAAGCGGAAACGUCAACGAACGG
rnacentral:rRNA from 1 species